GUCCACGCCGUAAACGAUGGAUACUAGCUGUUGGAAGCAAUUUCAGUGGCUAAGCGAAAGUGAUAAGUAUCCCACCUGGGGAGUACGUUCGCAAGAAUGAAACUCAAAGGAAUUGACGGGGGCCCGCACAAGCGGUGGAGCAUGUGGUUUAAUUCGAUGAUACGCGAGGAACCUUACCAAGGCUUAAAUGUAGAUUGACCGUUUUGGAAACAGAACUUUCGCAAGACAAUUUACAAGGUGCUGCAUGGUUGUCGU
rnacentral:rRNA from 1 species